CACACUCCUUCCUCGAAAAAUGUGGAUUCUUCCAAAAAUUGACAACCCACAGCUGCACGGCCAGCCGAAGACCAAGUUGUUCGUGUAAAGGCUUGUGGCUGCAAAUUUCCACUCACUUGUACAUGUACAUAGUGGCAUCUGCAUCAUUGUAGAAAAGCACAGUGCCAGUCAGAACGUCAGCAGACAAGAGUUGACAUCAACCAGGGAAGAAGUUGCCUUUCUCUAACAAGGAUGGCUCUGUCUGGGACCAAGGCCCUUCUGGUCUGGUCCCAGAGAGUGACAGAAGGCUACAAAGAUGUCAAUGUCACCAACAUGCAGAAAUCCUGGAAGGAUGGGCUGGCAUUCUGUGCCGUCCUGCACCACUUCCGACCAGAUCUUAUAGACUUUGAUUCUUUAUCCAAAGAGAACGUACGAGAAAAUAACAAGUUGGCUUUUGACGUCGCUGAGGAGGAACUGGGAAUUCCAGCCUUACUGGACCCUGAUGACAUGGCCACCAUGCAUGUACCAGACAAACUCAGCAUCAUGACCUACGUGUCACAGUACUACAGUUACUUCCGAGAUAAGAAGCCAAUUAAGGAUGUUGGAGGCCAGAAGACCAGAACACCAAGCAAGAGACCAGCUGGGGAGUCACCACUACAACACGUGCCAAACAAGCAGCCCACCCUGGGAGACACAUGCACAAUAUGUGGAAAGAAAGUCUACCUGGUGGAGCGCCAGGUGGCUGAUGGCAAGUUGUACCACCGGAACUGCUUCCGCUGCUCAAAGUGCAAAACCUCACUGCGGUCGGGCAACUACAAGGCCACCGCCAACCCAAAGCAGCUGGAAUGCCUGGACCAUGGCGACAACAUCUGGAAACUACGGUCCGACAUUGCCAGCCGGGCUUCCAAGGAGAAGAAGCAGGCCAGCAAUGGCGGGAGCAUAUGGGAGGCCAGGCCUGGCAUGAAGGCCAUGACCGACAGUGGUGGCAGCCUGUGGCAGAAGCAGUCGGAUGGAAAGCCACCAAUAAGAGAGAACGAUGGUGUGGCUGGUGUAUGGGAGGCGCGAUCCGGUUUGAAACCUGUGCCUAAAAACACUAGCACAGCUGGGGGCCUUUGGGAAAAGCAGUCAAAUGCAAAGUCAGAGCCAGAGAAGCCAGCCCUGCCGCCCCAGAAGCCCCAAGUGGCAGAUCUCCCACAGCCUUCCAAUAAGCCGGCCGUUCCAAUGCAUCCACACUUGAUAGCCAGCAAGGCAGCCCGAGAGAGGUUUAACAGCCCAGCAGCAACCCAAGAACCGAAACCAGUCCAACAGCCUUCCAGACCUAGCCUCGUCUCUCCGGAGAAGAACUUGAGCAGCGAUGCUGCUAAGACUGAGGCCACAAGGCAAGGCCUGCUGGCCUCACUUGCUGCAGUCAGGGGGAACCUGAAGCCAGGCACAGCAGCAUCAAAGGAUUACUUGCUAGAUGCCUUGGAAGGAGGCACAGGCCGAAAACUUGCCGUGGGAGAAGAGGACUCCAGAGAAGCCAGCCCAGCUGGUUCCAACUGGAGCUUACCAAGUGAUGCUAAGGAAGUUUCUAAGAGUCCCAGUAAGGAUGAAGAGACAAGCAUGGAAGUAUCAAAGGAGAGUGAAAAGGCUUCGCCCGAAACUGAUGAAAUAAAGACUGAAUCAGAACCUCUGAGUGUCGGUGCUCAUUCUAGAGACAGCGGACACACGUCCUCGGAUGUCUUCAGCUUGACGAGCAUCAGCUCCAUCAGCCAAAUCAACAACUCGGAAACUAGCAGUGUUGAUAUUGAUCAGCAGAGCUUUGCUAGUGGCAUAGAGCCAGGGAAACGUUCAUCUGCCUUGAGCAGAGAUAGUAUCAGCGACCAAGAGGGGGUCACAGCAGCCAACCUGAACCUGUCUGAUUCCUUCUGUGUGGAGUACAACACUACCAAAGCAGCAGAGCCUGCAAAUGAAACAGGCGAUCUGGAGGGGGAGCCAGAUGCUAGUGAAAUAGUCAUUGAAAAGCAAGAUGAGAAAGGUGUCAGGGAAGAAGAAAAGGCAGAGAGUCAAACCCCAAAGCCCAAAGUGGAUGACUAUGAUGAAAGUCUGAAUCCUUUUGGAGAUGAUGAUGAAGAAGAAGAGGAAGUCAAGGAAAGUAAGGAUGACGGUUACAAGAAUCCAUUUGACGAAUCUGGCUCUGAGGAUGAUGAUGCCUAUGAUGAUAAUCUCAAUCCCUUCGGAGAUGAUGACGAUGAGGAUCCUUCAUUAGGAUCCCCUAUUGCUCAGUGGCCCCCUCUUCCAGUUGGAGGCACAGGCAGCUCCAAGCCGGCAGAAAUCCCCAGUCAGCAGGGAUCGUACAAAGUGAAAACCAGGCAGGAGAUCCUGCAGGAGAUGCAGCGCGAUCGCCACACACUGAAGAGUCGUCAAAAACGCCCGGCUCCUCCCAGGCCAGAUGAUGCACCGCCCAGACCGACAGGAGCCCCACCCAGACCUACUGCACCACCUAAUCGACCUGGAUCGUCCAUCACCCAGGAAAAGGAUUCUCUCAGGCCUCCACCCAGAUCAAGAAAGAGCAGACCCGCCCCAAGUCCACCCAAGGAGAAUGGCAGACCACCAGAGGCUGCAGAUAACAAAUCACGUCCAGACAAACCACCUCCACCAGCCCCAGCCAGUAUUGACCAAAGAACAAACUCAGAUGCAAGUGCAAAACCAGUGCCAUCACCUCGUUUGAAGAAGAUCAUAACACCAGGCAAGGAACUUGAUGGUAGGAUUUCACCGGUUCCCUCCCCAAGGAGACAAUGCUCCACUGGAGCCAAGACCAAUGACGAGUCACCGGUACCAUCUCCAAGGAUGCGAAGAGGAACUGAUGAAUUGUUGGACAGGAAGCAGGUCAAGCCCCCAAGGCCGACCUCUGACCCAAUCAAGCCUCCAACAUUGUCUACACAAGGCUCCAGGAAGAGGGCUCCAGCACCCCCUCCGGUCAAGAGAGAGGUCGACAAGUAUCACGUUGACCCAGCCAUCAUCCAGAAAGAGCUGUGUGAGAUUGAGAUCAAACAGCGUGAGCUGGAAGCCAAGGGAAUCAAGAUAGAGCAGAGUCUACGAACACAUAUGGAAGGGCAUGAUCAAGACAAUGAAGAUCUUCUCAUUGAAUGGUUUGCGCUCGUCAACGAAAAGAACCAGCUGCUGAGAAGAGAAGGAGAGCUGGUUGCACAAUCCCAGAUGCAGGAUCUGGAGCUGCAACAGGCUGAGAUCGAGUAUGAGCUGCGUUGCUUGAUGCACAAGCAUGAGCACCAGAAGACGGAUGCCGACGUGGAACGGGAGGAGAAGCUCCUGGAGAUGCUGGUGGAGGCGGUCACCAAGCGCAGCCGCAUUGUGGAGCGGCUUGAGGAGGACCGGCGGCGGGAGGAGGCAGAGGACAAGGAGUUCCAGAGCAUGAUGGAGCAGAGCGUACCCAAAAAGGAAAAAGGAAAGAGCAAAAAAGGUUUGAAUUGAAGGACAUGUUCAAUUCUGCAUGGGUGUUCUCUCGUUGCUAUAAUCCUCUGACCCCCCCCCCGUUCUAAAGGUUUCGACAAGAAAAACAUGGAGAAGAAGAAACAAAAGGUGAAAAAAGUCGUGAGUCUCCUAGGCAAAUAGCC
rnacentral:misc_RNA from 1 species